rnacentral:rRNA from 1 species
GACGAACGCUGGCGGCGUGCUUAACACAUGCAAGUCGAACGGAAAGGCCCUGCUUUUGUGGGGUGCUCGAGUGGCGAACGGGUGAGUAACACGUGAGUAACCUGCCCUUGACUUUGGGAUAACUUCAGGAAACUGGGGCUAAUACCGGAUAGGAGCUCCUGCUGCAUGGUGGGGGUUGGAAAGUUUCGGCGGUUGGGGAUGGACUCGCGGCUUAUCAGCUUGUUGGUGGGGUAGUGGCUUACCAAGGCUUUGACGGGUAGCCGGCCUGAGAGGGUGACCGGCCACAGUGGGACUGAGAUACGGCCCAGACUCCUACGGGAGGCAGCAGUGGGGAAUAUUGCACAAUGGGCGGAAGCCUGAUGCAGCAACGCCGCGUGCGGGAUGACGGCCUUCGGGUUGUAAACCGCUUUCGCCUGUGACGAAGAGUGAGUGACGGUAAUGGGUAAAGAAGCACCGGCUAACUACGUG